rnacentral:rRNA from 1 species
UACGUAGGUGGCUUGGUAAGUCGGAUGUGAAAGCCCUGGGCUUAACCUGGGAACUGCAUCCGAAACUGCCUGGCUGGAGUAAGGGAGAGGGAAGUGGAAUUUCCGGUGUAGCGGUGAAAUGCGUAGAUAUCGGAAGGAACACCAGUGGCAAAGGCGACUUCCUGGCCCAUUACUGACACUGAGGUACGAAAGCGUGGGGAGCAAACA